CUUCAUCGGGUUGUAACGCCUACAAGAAGCCAACAGUCUUCACUCGUGUGUCUGCAUACAUCAGCUGGAUUAGUGGCAUCAUUGGAUAAGGAGGAAACCUGAAAGGAUGAAAGACAAACAUCCUCCAUUUACCAAGCUUUAACAUCUGCAAUGGCCAAAAAUACAUACAGUAAACUUUACCUCUAAUCUUGG